rnacentral:rRNA from 1 species
UACGUAGGGACCGAGCGUUGUCCGGAUUCAUUGGGCGUAAAGAGCUCGUAGGCGGCUGUUCAAGUCGAACGUGAAAACUCGGAGCUUAACUCCGAAACUGCAUUCGAUACUGCGGUGCUUGAGGACUGGAGAGGAGACUGGAAUUCAUGGUGUAGCAGUGAAAUGCGUAGAGAUCAUGAGGAAGACCAGUGGCGAAGGCGGGUCUCUGGACAGUUCCUGACACUGAGACACGAAGGCCAGGGGAGCAAACGGG